UGAAGCUGGCACCUCCGGUGUCCGCGUUGUAAUCUCGAGACGUGUUUUCCGUGCGGCUCUAUGGACAAGUCCCUUGGAAUAGGGCAUCGUAGAGGGUGAGAAUCCCGUACUUGCCAUGGAAGAACCGUGCUUUGCGAUACACGCUCUAAGAGUCGAGUUGUUUGGGAUUGCAGCUCAAAAUGGGUGGUAGACUCCAUCUAAAGCUAAAUAUCGGGGAGAGACCGAUAGCGAACAAGUACCGUGAGGGAAAGAUGAAAAGCACUUUGGAAAGAGAGUUAAAAGUACGUGAAAUUGUCGAAAGGGAAGCACUUGAAGUCAGCCAUGCUGCUUGAGACUCAGCCUGGCCUUUGGGCUUGGUGUAUUUCUCGGUGGCAAGCCAGCAUUGGUUUGGGUCGUCGGAGAAGCGCAUAGGGAAUGUAGCGUUUCCGGACGUGUUAUAGCCUUAUGCAGGAUACGACGACCUGGAUCAAGGAACGCAGUGUGCCCU
rnacentral:rRNA from 1 species